CUUCGUCUAUCAUGUGCUUGGGAUGUGCUCAUGCUUUGCACAGAGCAGCUGAAGCACGCCUAAUGCAGGCUACUGAGUGUUAGCGGUAAUUUUAAAGUGAUGCCCCCCCACCAAAUAAUACGGCUGGGAUAUUUGAGGGGAACAUACACAUCACGGUACACCACGGACACAACUGAACACCGCUGGUCUUCUCCUGCUUGGGACGCUUUCUGGUCGACUGCAGUGAUUUGACUCACCUUCAGAAAUGAUGGAGAAAAGGAGCUGUGGAGAACUGCAGGCAGCAGGAAGUAGAGGUCAACAUGAGAUCUCUGGGAUUUUGCUCUCAACUGGACCCACAUAAGGUUGAAUGGAAACCUUGCAGAUCAUGACCCAGAAACAAAUGGCAUAAUGACUGGAGUCUCCGCGCUAAAGACGUCAAGGAUAUUCAGCUGAUCUCAGAGGUAAAUGAAUUUUCCCAAUCAACUAGAGAGGAGCCCAAAUCUCAUUAAGACAGGAGCUUCAAGAUGUCCACAACUCUCUGAGCUUCACAUUACUCUCUACGACACUUGGACCUGUUCUGUACUCUUUAUUUCUGUCACCUGGUUAUAUAUAUAAGAUUGUAAACUGACACAUACUUUGACCUUGCACUAAUAUAGCAAUUUAUUUAUUUAUUUAUUUUUAUUACAUGAGAGAAUACUAUCGGAGACAUUAAACCUAUAUUCUAUGUAUUUGAUUGAGUCUAACAAGUAUA